UUUUAUUUCUCUGAUUUGAGUCAGGCGGCUACAAACAGUCAGUUCAGGCAAGAUUCCUAUGUGUUUCUCGGAAGCCAAUAAAGUAAUGAAAAGAGGAUAGACAAAUCCAGGAAUCAAUUAAUGUGCAACUAUUCAACACCUUAAAAAAAAUAAAGUAUCUAGCUUAAUGUUUUGUAUUUCAUAUGAAGGAGAAACCCUUACUUCCGGUUUGGAGAAAUCCAUGUUUCUAUUAGAUUUAUGGAGCAAACCGUGUUUGUUGAGGUCGCUGAAACCGAUUCCAGUGGAGAGUUUUGGGUUUUGCAAUUACGAACACCUUAUGGUAUUGGCCAACACCAACUCAGAUUUUUUUUCCAGGUCUGAUUUUAUUUCCAUCCUUUUCAAGUAUUACCUAUAUUAAUUUCACUGUUUCUCUCACACAUUCUCUCUCUACCAUUGUUUCCACUGUUUCGUUUAGACAAUUUGUGGGAAAAUAAAAGGCAUCAAAACCACCUUUAAUAAUGAGAACCAGACUGUUUAAACUUAUAAUGGUUUACCACUUAAAUUUCCAGGUUGAAAAUCUCUGCUAAAAACAUUUCUUUGAUUUAGGUUAUGGUGUUUUAUGUUACUUGGUUUUAACUGGUACUAUAAUGAACCUCAACCAACUCUGCAGAACAACCACUGUGUGCGUAAGUGUGUUUGAUAGUUAGUCUGUUCCAUGAGACAUAAGUGCGUAGUGUUGUGGAGCCUAAGGUCUUUGUUGCAACGAACAUAAAACCAAAAUUAAUAUUCGUCUAUUACCAGUUACAUUAUCAUAACAGCUUUCAUGCUAACUUUACGCAGCAUUGCAUGCCGCCUUUUCCUCAAUGCAACCUCCGGAACACAUUUCUACUUUUACCAAGAAAGUGUAACCAGCCAGAGCUUUCUGCAAGACUAAGUUUUGUGGAUUUGACAUUGGUAGCUCCUCCACUCCUUCCAAGUAUGGCGGUGUACAGAAAAUUGAGUUAGCAACAAUUGUGGAGUUUAUUGUCUGUGUCAUGAAUUCACCACCUCAGGUAUGUACUCUUAACUUAAAUAGACUGCAUUUAUUCGUCUCUGUUUUCUAAUCUUAUAUGAUGCAUUCUAUUUUUUUUUCAUCUGUGGACGCAAAGGCGGUACGGUAGAAUUCCACUGCACUGGCCAAGUCGAUGACAUUGAGAAAACUGAUGGACCAAUGCUUCAUCAUCAAAGCUUUGCUUACAAGGAGGUGGUGACUACCCUGGAAAUGAUAUUCUGGAUGCUGUGACUCUCACUAUUAACCCUCUCAUGUGAUGGGGAGCAGUGGUUCACAUAAUACCACAUGAAGUAACACUGCUCCAAUUUUUGAAGGAAGCAUGGCUGAGUCAGCAGUACUACCUGCUCAACCUGAUGCAUUUUUAGCACCGGAAAGGAUACCACAGAGCCUGAGAUCUCCAACCAUAGCCAUGACAAUAUUAAUAUAGGUGAAGAACCAAUUCCACACUGAACGUGCUAAGUUUGAGUCAAUAAUUUUUCUACAUUAUAUAGAUUGUCGUGUUUUUAGUUUGCUUGGUUAUAUACUUAUAUCAUAUAUGAAUACGUUGAUCCCAUUACUGUAGGAAUCUUUUACGGCUCUAGCUAUUACAUAUUCCUAAAAUUGUUUAAUUUUUUUAAUUUCCAAUACUUGAUUCAUCAUCAUAAAUUUUUGGAAUAGUAGAUGUAGCUUCUCUUUUGAUUAAACAACAAAUAUAGGACACCUUACUAUUUUAGUUGUAUACAAAACCAGACGUGAGUUUGCAUUAACUUACUUUUACUGACUCAGGUUGGUGAUGUGGAGAAGAUAAUUAUAAAAAGAGAAAGAAAAUAAUAAUUAAAUAUUAAUACACAAUCAAAACAUUUUAGUUUUGUUUCGAAAAUAAAAAUAACAAAAUAGAACAAACAAAAAUGAUUAUUUUGUGACAAUCAUAAUUUGAGCUUGGUGAAAAGCUUAGUUAAAAAAUAAUAAAUUUAGACAAAAUACUUAAUAAAAUAAAUAUGAAAUCAAUGAAAACUAAAAGAAGAUAAAUUCAUUUUUAAUAUUGCUUAACAUGUUUUAUAAAAUCCAAAUCAAUAAAAAAAAAUGAAUCGCAUGAAAAAAAUGUUCAUUUGGUAAGCAAAAUCAAGGUUAAAGGAAUUAACAAGAAAAAGGUUAAUAACCAUAGUUAAAGAUUAAUACAUAAUAAAAAUAUAUAAUAUAAAAAAUAAACAAUAAAAAUAAAAAUAAAAAUAAAAUAAAAAUAAAAUAUAACUCAAAGUAUAUAAAUUUUCAGAAUAAAGAAAAA